rnacentral:rRNA from 1 species
GUCUUAAUGAAUUUUAUAUUAAGUCAAAUCUGCCCAAUGAAUAAUUUUAAUGGCUGCAGUAUUUUAACUGUACAAAGGUAGCAUAAUAAUUUGUUUUUUAAUUAAAAACUAGAAUGAAAGAUUUAAUGAAAUAAAAACUGUUUCAAUAUAAUAUAUAUUAAAUUUAUUAUUUAAGUUAAAAUACUUAAAUAUCUUAUUAAGACGAUAAGACCCUAUAGAAUUUAAUUUAUUAAUAUUUAUAUUUUUUCUUUAUAUAUUUAUAUAUUAAUAAAUUUGAUUGGGGUAAUUAAAAAAUUUAAUUAAUUUUUUUUUUAUAAAAUCAUUGAUUUAUGCUAAUUUUAUUAUCUUAAUUUUUAAAUUAAAAAAAUUAAUUACCUUAGGGAUAACAGCAUAAUUUUUUUUGUAAGAUCAUAUUUAUAAAAAAGAUUAU